rnacentral:rRNA from 1 species
GGAGUUAGCCGGUGCUUCUUCUGCGAGUAACGUCACAGAUGUAAGGUAUUAACUUACACCCUUUCCUCCUCGCUGAAAGUGCUUUACAACCCGAAGGCCUUCUUCACACACGCGGCAUGGCUGCAUCAGGGUUUCCCCCAUUGUGCAAUAUUCCCCACUGCUGCCUCCCGUAGGAGUCUGGGCCGUGUCUCAGUCCCAGUGUGGCUGAUCAUCCUCUCAGACCAGCUAGGGAUCGUCGCCUAGGUGAGCCUUUACCUCACCUACUAGCUAAUCCCACCUGGGCUUAUCCAUCAGCGCAAGGCCCGAAGGUCCCCUGCUUUCCCCCGUAGGGCGUAUGCGGUAUUAGCAGUCGUUUCCAACUGUUAUCCCCCACAAAUGGGCAAAUUCCCAGGCAUUACUCACCCGUCCGCCGCUCGUCAUCUUCAAAAGCAAGCUUUUGAAAUGUUACCGCUCGACUUGCAUGUGUUAGGCCUGCCGCCACGCGUUCUAUACUGAGACCGACGAGUACAAACUACUCGA